rnacentral:sRNA from 1 species
GCCAGGCAUGGUGGUGCACACCUGUAAUCCUAGUGGCUUGGGAGGCUGAGGCAGGAAGAUCAUGAGUUCAAAGCCAGCCUCAGCAACAGUGAGGCACUAAGCAACUCAGUGAGAGCCUGUCUCUA